ACUACCUCAGAUUAUCUUCGGCGUGAGGUUUACACAGAAUGCACUCUGCAUUCUGUGUAAACCUCACGCCGAAGAUAAUCUGA